UACAGAGGGUGCGAGCGUUAAUCGGAAUUACUGGGCGUAAAGCGCACGUAGGCGGCUUGGUAUGUCGGGUGUGAAAUCCCCGGGCUCAACCUGGGAACUGCAUUUGUGACUGCAUCGCUGGAGUGCGGCAGAGGGGGAUGGAAUUCCGCGUGUAGCAGUGAAAUGCGUAGAGAUGUGGAGGAACACCGAUGGCGAAGGCAGCCCCCUGGGUCAAGAUUGACGCUCAUGCACGAAAGCGUGGGGAGCAAACAGG
rnacentral:rRNA from 1 species